rnacentral:rRNA from 1 species
AGGACACUCGCGAGAGCUAGCAAUCCCAUAAACCGUGGCUCAGUUCAGAUCGUAGGCUGCAACUCGCCUACGUGAAGGAGGAAUCGCUAGUAAUCGCAGGUCAGCAUACUGCGGUGAAUACGUUCCCGGGCCUUGUACACACCGCCCGUCACACCAUGGAAGUUGGCCACGCCCGAAGCCGUUACUCCAACCCUUGUGGAGGAGGACGUCGAAGGUGGGGCUGAUGACUGGGGUGAAGUCGUAACAAAGGUAGCCGUACCGGAAGGUGCGGCUGGAUCACCUCCUAA